rnacentral:rRNA from 1 species
CCUACGGGAGGCUGCAGUGGGGAAUAUUGCACAAUGGGGGAAACCCUGAUGCAGCCAUGCCGCGUGUGUGAAGAAGGCCUUCGGGUUGUAAAGCACUUUCAGCGAGGAGGAAAGGUUGGCAGCUAAUACCUGUCAGCUGUGACGUUACUCGCAGAAGAAGCACCGGCUAACUCCGUGCCAGCAGCCGCGGUAAUACGGAGGGUGCAAGCGUUAAUCGGAAUUACUGGGCGUAAAGCGCACGCAGGCGGCUUGUUAAGUCAGAUGUGAAAGCCCCGGGCUCAACCUGGGAACUGCAUUUGAAACUGACAAGCUAGAGUCUUGUAGAGGGGGGUAGAAUUCCAGGUGUAGCGGUGAAAUGCGUAGAGAUCUGGAGGAAUACCGGUGGCGAAGGCGGCCCCCUGGACAAAGACUGACGCUCAGGUGCGAAAGCGUGGGGAGCAAACAGGAUUAGAUACCCUUGUAGUC